AUUGAACGCUGGCGGAAUGCUUUACACAUGCAAGUCGAGCGGCAGCGCGGCCUUCGGGCUGGCGGCGAGCGGCGAACGGGUGAGUAAUGCAUCGGAACAUGCCCAGUCGUGGGGGAUAACACUUCGAAAGAAGUGCUAAUACCGCAUACGUCCUGAGGGGGAAAGCGGGGGAUCGCAAGACCUCGCGCGAUUGGAGUGGCCGAUGUCAGAUUAGCUAGUUGGUGGGGUAAAGGCCUACCAAGGCGACGAUCUGUAGCUGGUCUGAGAGGAUGAUCAGCCACACUGGGACUGAGACACGGCCCAGACUCCUACGGGAGGCAGCAGUGGGGAAUUUUGGACAAUGGGGGCAACCCUGAUCCAGCCAUUCCGCGUGAGUGAAGAAAGCCUUCGGGUUGUAAAGCUCUUUCGGCAGGAACGAAACGGUGGGCUCUAACAUAGUCCGCUAAUGACGGUACCUGAAGAAGAAGCACCGGCUAACUACGUG
rnacentral:rRNA from 1 species